UACGUAGGGGGCAAGCGUUGUCCGGAUUUAUUGGGCGUAAAGAGCUCGUAGGCGGUUUGGUAAGUCUGGUGUGAAAUCUCCACGCUCAACGUGGAGGGGCCACCCGAUACUGCCAUGACUGGAGUCCGGUAGAGGAGUGUGGAAUUCCCGGUGUAGCGGUGAAAUGCGCAGAUAUCGGGAGGAACACCCGUAGCGAAGGCGGCACUCUGGGCCGGAACUGACGUCGUGGAGGAGACGCAAAGCGGAU
rnacentral:rRNA from 1 species